rnacentral:rRNA from 1 species
GACGAACGCUGGCGGCGUGCUUAACACAUGCAAGUCGAACGCUGAAGCCCUUCGGGGUGGAUGAGUGGCGAACGGGUGAGUAACACGUGGGUAAUCUGCCCUGCACUCUGGGAUAAGCCUUGGAAACGGGGUCUAAUACCGGAUAGGACACAUCGCCGCAUGGUGUGUGUGUGGAAAGUUCCGGCGGUGCAGGUUGGGCCCGCGGCCUAACAGCUUGUUGGUGGGGUGAUGGCCUACCAAGGCGACGACGGGUCGCCGGCCUGAGAGGGUGACCGGCCACACUGGGACUGGGACACGGCCCAGACUCCUACGGGAGGCAGCAGUGGUGAAUCUUGCGAAAUGGGCGAAAGCCUGACGCAGCAACGCCGCGUGGGGGAUGACGGCCUUCGGGUUGUAAACCUCUUUCGACCGGGACGAAGGAUUCGUUUGACGGUACCGGUAGAAUAAGCACCGGCUAACUACGUGCCAGCCGCCGCAGUAA